GAGAAGAACGUAGUGAAAUGCGAUAAGUAGUGUGAAUUGCAGAAUUCAGUGAAUCAUCGAAUCUUUGAACGCACAUUGCGCCCCUUGGUAUUCCAUGGGGCAUGCCUGUUCGAGCGUCAUUGCUGCCCUCAAGCACGGCUUGUGUGUUGGGCCUCCGUCCUCCUCCCGGGGGACGGGCCCGAAAGGCAGCGGCGGCACCGCGUCCGGUCCUCGAGCGUAUGGGGCUUCGUCACCCGCUCUUGUAGGCCCGGCCGGCGCUUGCCGACACAUCAAUCUUUUUUCCAGGUUGACCUCGGAUCAGGUAGGGAUACCCGCUGAACUUAAGCAUAUCAAUAAGCGGAGGA
rnacentral:misc_RNA from 1 species